UUUCUAUUGCUGUAAUGAGGCUCCAUGACCAUGGCAGCAGGCAGGUUCGCAUGUGCUGGAGCAGCAGCAGCUGAGAGUUCACAUCUUGAAGCACAAGUCCGAGGCAGAGGGAGACACAAGCCCAAUCCCAGUGCCACGCGUCCUCCAACAAGGCCACACCCCCUCCAAUGAGGCCACGCCCUCCAAAUGAGGUCACACCUCCUCUAAUGAGACCACACCCCCUCCAAUGAGACCACACCUCCUAAUCCUUUCCAAACAGCCCACCAACUGGAAAUCAAGCAUUCAAAUAUAUGAAACCAAUAGAGACCAUUCUCAUUUAAACCACCAUAGUCAAGAAUACUGUAUGAGUUUUAAAAAGACAUAGAUCUGAUGUGGCUCAACAGGAGAGUGCUUUUGUAGGCUGGUUAGGACCUCGGGUUCAGUUCCCAGCAAUGAACAUAAUAACGGAAACAGAAAGAAUGGAAGUGUGGGAAAAUAUGGUGUAGGUUUUUAAGGUUUGCAAGAGGCAAAAAGAGAAAUCCAUUUAAUCCGAUCUAAGGGAGAUGAACCUAUUUUGUCUCUCUAUGGCCAGUCUGAAAAUGUGACCCAUGUCACGUCCAGUGCCAUCUUACCUCCCUGGUCUUGGGAGCAGUCACUUCUCCCUACAUAGAAGAGGAAGUCCUUGGUCCUGAUGCUCCCGUUCUCACAGUCUGUCUUAAGCUUAGAAUGUGACCUUAUUUUCUCAAUGCUUAGCCAUCCUCCACUUCCUCAGGACUAAGAGAAAUAUCGCCACAUGCUGUGUAGAC
rnacentral:lncRNA from 1 species